rnacentral:rRNA from 1 species
GAUGGGUAGCCGGCCUGAGAGGGUGAACGGCCACAAGGGGACUGAGACACGGCCCUUACUCCUACGGGAGGCAGCAGUGGGGAAUAUUGGACAAUGGACCAAAAGUCUGAUCCAGCAAUUCUGUGUGCACGAUGAAGUUUUUCGGAAUGUAAAGUGCUUUCAGUUGGGAAGAAGUCAGUGACGGUACCAACAGAAGAAGCGACGGCUAAAUACGUGCCAGCAGCCGCGGUAAUACGUAUGUCGCAAGCGUUAUCCGGAUUUAUUGGGCGUAAAGCGCGUCUAGGCGGUUUAGUAAGUCUGAUGUGAAAAUGCGGGGCUCAACCCCGUAUUGCGUUGGAAACUGCUAAACUAGAGUACUGGAGAGGUAGGCGGAACUACAAGUGUAGAGGUGAAAUUCGUAGAUAUUUGUAGGAAUGCCGAUGGGGAAGCCAGCCUACUGGACAGAUACUGACGCUAAAGCGCGAAAGCGUGGGUAGCAAACAGGAUUAGAUACCCUGGUAGUCCACGCCGUAAACGAUGAUUACUAGGUGUUGGGGGUCGAACCUCAGCGCCCAA